rnacentral:rRNA from 1 species
UACGUAGGGUGCGAGCGUUGUCCGGAAUUAUUGGGCGUAAAGAGCUCGUAGGCGGCUUGUCGCGUCGGAUGUGAAAGCCCGGGGCUUAACUCCGGGUCUGCAUUCGAUACGGGCAGGCUAGAGUUCGGUAGGGGAGAUCGGAAUUCCUGGUGUAGCGGUGAAAUGCGCAGAUAUCAGGAGGAACACCGGUGGCGAAGGCGGAUCUCUGGGCCGAUACUGACGCGGAGGAGCGAAAGCGUGGGGAGCGAACAGG